rnacentral:rRNA from 1 species
GCCUAAUACAUGCAAGUCGAGCGAACAGACGAGGAGCUUGCUCCUCUGACGUUAGCGGCGGACGGGUGAGUAACACGUGGAUAACCUACCUAUAAGACUGGGAUAACUUCGGGAAACCGGAGCUAAUACCGGAUAAUAUAUUGAACCGCAUGGUUCAAUAGUGAAAGACGGUUUUGCUGUCACUUAUAGAUGGAUCCGCGCCGCAUUAGCUAGUUGGUAAGGUAACGGCUUACCAAGGCAACGAUGCGUAGCCGACCUGAGAGGGUGAUCGGCCACACUGGAACUGAGACACGGUCCAGACUCCUACGGGAGGCAGCAGUAGGGAAUCUUCCGCAAUGGGCGAAAGCCUGACGGAGCAACGCCGCGUGAGUGAUGAAGGUCUUCGGAUCGUAAAACUCUGUUAUUAGGGAAGAACAAAUGUGUAAGUAACUAUGCACGUCUUGACGGUACCUAAUCAGAAAGCCACGGCUAACUACGUGCCAGCAGCCGCGGUAAUACGUAGGUGGCAAGCGUUAUCCGGAAUUAUUGGGCGUAAAGCGCGCGUAGGCGGUUUUUUAAGUCUGAUGUGAAAGCCCACGGCUCAACCGUGGAGGGUCAUUGGAAACUGGAAAACUUGAGUGCAGAAGAGGAAAGUGGAAUUCCAUGUGUAGCGGUGAAAUGCGCAGAGAUAUGGAGGAACACCAGUGGCGAAGGCGACUUUCUGGUCUGUAACUGACGCUGAUGUGCGAAAGCGUGGGGAUCAAACAGGAUUAG